GGCGAGGUGGCCGAAUGGAUACCGCGUCAGGCUAUAAAUCUGGAGGUCGAAGGUUUGGAUCCUGCUCUCUUUU
rnacentral:tRNA from 1 species